rnacentral:rRNA from 1 species
UGGGGAAUUUUGGACAAUGGGCGAAAGCCUGAUCCAGCAAUGCCGCGUGUGUGAAGAAGGCCUUCGGGUUGUAAAGCACUUUUGUCCGGAAAGAAAUCCUUGGCUCUAAUACAGUCGGGGGAUGACGGUACCGGAAGAAUAAGCACCGGCUAACUACGUGCCAGCAGCCGCGGUAAUACGUAGGGUGCAAGCGUUAAUCGGAAUUACUGGGCGUAAAGCGUGCGCAGGCGGUUUGCUAAGACCGAUGUGAAAUCCCCGGGCUCAACCUGGGAACUGCAUUGGUGACUGGCAGGCUAGAGUAUGGCAGAGGGGGGUAGAAUUCCACGUGUAGCAGUGAAAUGCGUAGAGAUGUGGAGGAAUACGAUGGCGAAGGCAGCCCCCUGGGCCAAUACUGACGCUCAUGCACGAAAGCGUGGGGAGCAAACAGGAUUAGAUACCCUGGUAGUCCACGCCCUAAACGAUGUCAACUAGUUGUUGGGGAUUCAUUUCCUUAGUAACGUAGCUAACGCGUGAAGUUGACCGCCUGGGGAGUACGGUCGCAAGAUUAAAACUCAAAUGAAUUGACGGGGUCAUAGCUGUUUCCU